CUGGCCACUUCUUCCAGCACAGGCUGGCCACCUGUGUUGGAAUGAGUGUGCAUUUUGGUCAGUAUAAAAGCCCAAGCCUCAUACGAUGUGGGUGAGGCAGAGCCUCUGCGGGGAUGCCCGCUAAGGUUGAGCCUGCCACCUCGCACUGCAAUGAUGCUUCUCGGAGCUGGUUUGCUGUUAUCUUCACAGGGUCCUUGUGCCACAUUCUGUACGUGGGACUGUGUAGUGGGAGUAAUGAUUGUCUGGAUUUUGUGUUUCAAAUAUUGUAGUUGUGUGGAGCGUGCUUGUGGGAUCGCAUGUGUGUGUGUGUGUGUGAUGAGGGCAGACGGUGUUCUGUGUAUUUUUUGUUGUCGGGCUCAUGUAAAAGUUUUUAACGGGUAGCAGUUUAACAUUUUGGUCAAGAAAGGGUUAAUGCAGAAGUGCGGUUGCUGGCAG